AGAACGAACGCUGGCGGCAUGCCUAACACAUGCAAGUCGAACGAGACCCCUGAUUUCGGUUGGCGGGUCUAGUGGCGCACGGGUGCGUAACGCGUGGGAACCUGCCCCUUGGUUCGGAAUAACACAGAGAAAUUUGUGCUAAUACCGGAUGAUGACUUCGGUCCAAAGAUUUAUCGCCGAGGGAUGGGCCCGCGUAGGAUUAGCUUGUUGGUGGGGUAAUGGCCUACCAAGGCGACGAUCCUUAGCUGGUCUGAGAGGAUGAUCAGCCACACUGGGACUGAGACACGGCCCAGACUCCUACGGGAGGCAGCAGUGGGGAAUAUUGGACAAUGGGCGAAAGCCUGAUCCAGCAAUGCCGCGUGAGUGAUGAAGGCCUUAGGGUUGUAAAGCUCUUUUACCAGGGAUGAUAAUGACAGUACCUGGAGAAUAAGCUCCGGCUAACUCCGUGCCAGCAGCCGCGGUAA
rnacentral:rRNA from 1 species